rnacentral:rRNA from 1 species
GAGUUUGAUCUUGGCUCAGAACGAACGCUGGCGGCAUGCCUAACACAUGCAAGUCGAACGAGACCUUCGGGUCUAGUGGCGCACGGGUGCGUAACGUGUGGGAAUCUGCCCUCUGGUACGGAAUAACUCAGGGAAACUUGAGCUAAUACCGUAUAAUGACUUCGGUCCAAAGAUUUAUCGCCUGAGGAUGAGCCCGCGUAGGAUUAGCUUGUUGGUGAGGUAAAAGCUCACCAAGGCGACGAUCCUUAGCUGGUCUGAGAGGAUGAUCAGCCACACUGGGACUGAGACACGGCCCAGACUCCUACAGGAGGCAGCAGUGGGGAAUAUUGGACAAUGGGCGAAAGCCUGAUCCAGCAAUGCCGCGUGAGUGAUGAAGGCCUUAGGGUUGUAAAGCUCUUUUACCCGGGAUGAUAAUGACAGUACCGGGAGAAUAAGCCCCGGCUAACUCCGUGCCAGCAGCCGCCGUAAU